rnacentral:rRNA from 1 species
CAGUCGAGCGAGCGGAACUAAAGAUUUACUUCGGUAAUGACGUUAGGAAAGCGAGCGGCGGAUGGGUGAGUAACACGUGGGGAACCUGCCCCAUAGUCUGGGAUACCACUUGGAAACAGGUGCUAAUACCGGAUAAGAAAGCAGAUCGCAUGAUCAGCUUUUAAAAGGCGGCGUAAGCUGUCGCUAUGGGAUGGCCCCGCGGUGCAUUAGCUAGUUGGUAAGGUAAAGGCUUACCAAGGCGAUGAUGCAUAGCCGAGUUGAGAGACUGAUCGGCCACAUUGGGACUGAGACACGGCCCAAACUCCUACGGGAGGCAGCAGUAGGGAAUCUUCCACAAUGGACGCAAGUCUGAUGGAGCAACGCCGCGUGAGUGAAGAAGGUUUUCGGAUCGUAAAGCUCUGUUGUUGGUGAAGAAGGAUAGAGGUAGUAACUGGCCUUUAUUUGACGGUAAUCAACCAGAAAGUCACGGCUAACUACGUGCCAGCAGCCGCGGUAAUACGUAGGUGGCAAGCGUUGUCCGGAUUUAUUGGGCGUAAAGCGAGCGCAGGCGGAAGAAUAAGUCUGAUGUGAAAGCCCUCGGCUUAACCGAGGAACUGCAUCGGAAACUGUUUUUCUUGAGUGCAGAAGAGGAGAGUGGAACUCCAUGUGUAGCGGUGGAAUGCGUAGAUAUAUGGAAGAACACCAGUGGCGAAGGCGGCUCUCUGGUCUGCAACUGACGCUGAGGCUCGAAAGCAUGGGUAGUGAACAGGAUUAGAUACCCUGGUAGUCCAUGCC